rnacentral:tRNA from 1 species
GCCGAGAUAGCUCAAUGGCAGAGCAUGCGCAUGGUAAGCGUAAGAUCCGGGUCCGAUUCCCGGUCUCGGCUCCA